AAGGGAAGAAUGGAUUAAUGCUAGUUACUGUAGUUCAUACACUGACUCUUCACUAUACUCUGAUACUACUACACUCAGUAUGGCCCUAUCCAGCAGGGCACAGAAGGAUACAUACAACUUGCUGCUGAACAGUACUUUCCGAGGGCUGUUGAAAACAAGAUUAUAAAAGUAGAAAAAAAUCUCACAUAUGAUGCUAGGGGCUCUGAACUGAAACCACAUUAAAAGCAAUUGCUUCUGGCUGGCUUGGAUCCCAAGGAUUCGCCAUGUGUACACUGCCUAGAAGAAACUAACGCUCAACAAUGAAGACAUAACCCAGUCUGCACUACAAGGCCUGAGAGCUAGGAACUGAUCCUCAGAAUUGAUGCUUUUAGUAUUUAGAGGUAGCCGCCACAUACUAAUAGCCCCCACAUAUCAGAUUUAAACACACCCACACACCAAGAAAGCUAGUGUUAGCAUUAGAGUUCAAUGUGAAGACUACACU